UUAAGUUGCUCUUUCUUAUGGCUCUAAAGAAGAAGAAUCUUUAUAGGCAUAAAUUUGCUAUCCGUUUACAUUGAUGGAAUGAUGAUGAUAUGAUGAAAGGAGCCGUUUGGGUCAUGAAAUUGGAAGAAUAAAGGCAAAGAAUCUCUUCUUUCAUCCGUCUUGAGCAUCAUAUAAACAAAGAGUGGUUACCAACUGCAAUGUUGGUGAACCUAAUCGGCAAUUUUGAGAUUCCAAAUUGGAGAGUUUGGUGAAACGUUGCUCUAAUAUGCUUCUCUUGAUCAAAGGCGACGAAAUUGGCUGAUGCAUAUGGUUUGUGUUUGUGUUUUCGGUUUCAAUCAGUUUUGGCAAGUUGACAAGUAAAAGAAGAUGAUAAGUUGACUUGUAAAAGAUGGCAUAAGGACAGGUUAAAGAAGGUGGCAAGUUGUAUCUUCUUUUGGUUCAUUUUGCUUUAUUUUGUUCAGUUUGUUUCAGUAUGACAAGUUAAACAAAUUUGAAUUUUCAAAAUAAUAUUUCAAUUUUUUUAAGAAACUUUUUACC